GGGGGUGUAGCUCAGUGGUUAGAGCAGUCGGCUCAUAACUGAUUGGCCGUUGGUUCAAAUCCAACCACCCCCACCA
rnacentral:tRNA from 1 species